UGCGGGGCUAUGUGCUGGGCAGCAGACAGCAAAUAACCCCAGCUACCUGCGCUGCGUUGGGAGACCCUUAUCAAGCAGUGGAUUGACAAAGGCCUGUACAUGUAAAUGUUUUUUUCAGUGCUGCUAUCGCUUUAUGAUGGUUGGUACUCGAAUCCUCAUUCGUAAAAUUUCAUGUGAAGAAGCAUUAUGCAUACAUAUAGUCUGUGUGUUCCCAAUGCCAUUUCUGAAUCCUUAAUUAAAGUAUAUGGCUGAUGUGCCCCUGCACAGUUUGAAGCCAACUCUCGAUGCUGUGUGUCCUUUACAGGGGGAAGAGGGGCCUCUGGGCCCAAAUGGGCAUUGUGGUCUUCCAGGAUCCAUUGGCCAGCUGGGUCUACCAGGCAUAGAGGGAGUGAAGGGCUUCAAGUUAGAGGAUGGACCGCAAGGAGAUGAGGGACCCAAGGGAUUGCAAGGCCCUGUGGGAGACUUUGGACCAAAAGGCCCACCAGGAGACAUAGUAAGGUUAACCCAUGGUCUGAUUGUUAUGCUGCUGUUGAAUCAUAUGAUUGUGAAAUAACUUUAACUCGGAUGGUGGUGGACAGAUUGGAAUGGUGAAAAUGGGACUGCUGCUGUGGGGUUGAUGGGGCCUGCUGGCUUUCCUGUGAGUUGAGUCUCUUCCAUUUAAUUAUUCGAACAGAAGAUUUAUCAUUAUCAGUUCAAUGGUUUUUUUUUGUGAAAUUACUCUAACAAGAAUACAUUUUAUUUUUUUCAGGGAUCAACGGGAGAAUUGGGAGAAAUUGGCGAAAAGGUGAGAAAGUGCAAAUGACAUUAUUUUAUUUGCACAUUUUCCACAACUGUGUAAACGGGAAUAGCUAUUACUCCCCUGACAAAGGUAACACGUGUGAUUGAGUGUAAGUGAAUCAAGCUGCAGGGUCUUCCCCCACUUUGUUGGGUCUUCCUCUUGACAGGGUCCCAAAGGCUUCCUUGGGCAUCAGGGGGACGUAGGUGACCCUAGAGAUGAGGGGGACCCGGUGAGAACAACUGCACACCUCCCUCAGUGAUUCACACAACCCUCCCUCGCCAGGGCUUAAUUUAUCACUCAGUAUUUUCUGGGUCACUGGUCGCCUAGAGUAGGCACGUGACUCGUAGCCACCAAUAGCGAGAGGUAUACUGGAUAUGGUGUGUUAAGUGCGUAUAUAUUUUCCAGGUCACCGACCCGGACAGACACAGCUGAAACUCAGCUCUAUCCGUCGUCUACUAUGAUUAAACAAUGAACACAAACACGACUUAUGAAUAAUUUUUCAAACAAACCUUUUAAGCUGUGUGUGUACAUUUAUAAAACAAGAGCGACACUUGGUUAUGUACAGUAAAAAAUAAGUAACAAAGUGCAAAUCGUGUAUGUGUUUUUUUUGCGUUGAUUGUUACCAUGUUAUUGGAGUGGUCGUGCAGUGGUUCGCACAACUCACUUUGAACCUGGCAACCAGAGUUUGAUUCCUGGUUACUUCAGCGGGGGUCAUGGGCCUCCUACCUGCACCAACCUGCACUGAUCAUCAUGGUGAAGUAUGGGCAAAAAAAAUCCAUGAUCGAUAUAGUGCCUGGAGGUCUUCAUCCAUCAGUGAACGGACAACGGACUGCAUAUGUAUUAUUAAUGUUGCUGUGGGUAAUUAAUGUUUGUAUUCAGGGUGAGGAAUCAGGACAACAGGGAAUGAUGGAGCCCAUGGGCUACCCGGGGCCUGAAGGUCCCUUGGUGAGUCACUUCUGGUCCAUGUGGCACAGUAAACACACUUUCAGAAAUCGUAAAUAUGACUAAAAAAUUAAGUUAAAUGAUUUAAAAAUGUAUAUACGUUCAUAUUUACAUUUCUCAGGGUGAUAGAGGACUACCAGCACCACCAAAGUUGGACCUGAGUUUUUCGUUCCUCUAUCCGAAUUUAUUUAUUUUGUUACACACAAUAAUGUCUGUCUGCUGAAUUCUUCAUUCAAAAAGACCAGUAAAAAAACACCUAAACCCAUGAUAUAUAUUCAUAAUGAAGCCUUAUUUUGAUGUACAGGAAUGUGACAUGUUGAACAUCAUCAAAGAGAUGUGCUGUAAGUUUUCCAAACAUAAUUUUAAAAUACUUGACUGGUAAACUUUUCAAAUACAAUAAUGUAUGGUGUGUUUAAUUAAAUGCCGUAAAUUAGUGUUUAAAUGUUCUGUAUCUUGUUUAUGACUAAUUUGAAAAUAUAUUUUUUUAUCUUGUCCAACUUGUUGUGGUAAGUACCUUACUAUUGCAUUUUUUUAUCAUUCCAUAAUAACCCUAAGUGUAAUUACAUAUUAACAAUAAGGCGAUGGUAUACACAAAUCACGACCUCGUGCAGGGUGCUGUCAUCGGCACUAGAGAGACAAAGGAAGCCGUUUGUCUUGCUGGCUUCAUCUCCUCAUAGGGUUGCCACCUGCCCUGGUUUUCUCAAGAUUGUCUUUUUGUUGAGGGUAGCUGUCCUGGAAGCUCUGUAAAGUCUUCCCAGCACAUUUAAAGUGCCAGUUUUGUCAGUUGCAUAGUAACAAUAAUAAUACACCACUCAAGACGAUGUAUUCAAGUGUAGUUCUCCCAUUUUCUGAUAUUGUAAGAUAUCCUUCUUCCCUGAUUUUUUAUACCUUACAGGUGGCAACUCUACCUCCGCCACUUGUGUCCUUUGCCCACCUUGAUACAUGCUCAUUAACAACAUAUUCCCCAACAGUCUAUCUGGCUAAAAAGGGGGUGUAUGUCUUGUGUGCGUACGCCCAUUGAAGAAUGCAAGUGUGGCCCAGUGGAGCUGGUGUUUGUUCUGGACAGCUCUGAAAGUAUCGGACUGGAGAGCUUCUCUCUCUCCAAGGAAUUCAUUAUCCACACCCUGAACCGCGUCGUUGCGAACGGAAAUGUCAAGGUGGCACAUCUCACACAGACAACCGAGGGGAUUUUCUGUCCUCCUGUCUUUUUUGUUGUUCUCCAAGGUGAAAUAACAGCUCGGAAAGAAUGUCGUGUUGCUGCAGUUAGAAAACCAAAAUUGGAAAAAUGUAUGACUUCAACUUUUUUUGUUUCCACGUCUCUGUUAAUCUACUGCUAAAAUCCUCCCCACACCGUGUCAGACCUAGUGGGAGUUUACAAACCAUACUUCACCACGCUGAUCAGUGCGAGUUGGUGAAGGAGGGAGUCCAAGACCAGUUUGCAUGUCACUCACCACUGGUGUUAGCCAUAAACAGGAAUCAAAUUCAGGUCGACGGGUUCAUAGCACAGUGUGGUUACCACUCUGCCACUGCUCCACCUUAAAUUAAAUAUUGUGGAUAUUCAUGAGAAACACCGUUCUUCUGAAUGAGCUGUGUGACAUCAAGCAGUUUUGAUUAUAAAAUGUGUAAACUAGAGAGGUAACAAUAGGGUUUUUCCCCUUUUUUCUGGCAACAAAACU